AGGCCAUGAAGGGGACACUUGCGUAAUAGCUCCUUGAACCUUUCCCAUGUUUCAUAUAAGGAUUCCCCGUCCUCUUGUGAGUAUGUAUUAAUUUCAGCCAUUAAUUU
rnacentral:snoRNA from 1 species